UGCAAUUACCCCCGAAAAGUAUUCACUGUGGAAAAAACGCAAGUAAAAUCAAAAGUAAAGUAGAAAAGCUGUACUCUGUGAGAUGAAGGCAAAUUGCAAUUAUCACACUCUUGAGAUAAAUACUUUAUAUUGGUGAUUAACAAAAUAUGAAGGAGGUGGCAGCGGGGGUUCGUCCAGAAAGUCGCACAUUCGCAAGUCAGUGGCGUGUUCAACUAGCAAUUCCACAGUUUCGCCCGUGUGAUCCAUAAUGGCGCAUACUUCCUCAAAAUUCCUAUCAAUUAGAGACACUCCGCCCCACUCCAGAACCUAGAGAAUAAAAUGCGGAUCCCGACCAUUCUGCCACAAUGCUGGUAAUUGUUGUCACUUGUGUAUUGGACAGGAAUGUCCAUUGUCCACACCACCAAAUAAAAGCCCAGGCCGAGACUUGCAUAGCCAGCCUUACG